CGCCUUUUGAAUAGAUAGAAGGUCUAGCCUGCCCACUGAAAAAUUAAAGGGCCGCGGUAUAUUGACCGUGCAAAGGUAGCAUAAUCAUUAGUCUUCUAAUUAAAGGCUGGUAUGAAUGGUUGGACGAGGUAUUAGCUGUCUCCCUAAAACUGUUUUGAAUUUAACUUUUUAGUCAAAAGGCUGAAAUGUAGUUGGAGGACGAGAAGACCCUAUAGAUCUUUAUAUUUAAAUUGUUUAAUCAUUUUAGUAGGAUUUGGAUUUAAUGAGGUUAAUAUUUUGUUGGGGUGACAGGAAGAUAAUAAAAACUAUUUUUAUAAGAGUAACAUUGAUAUAUGAAUAAAUGAUCCGUGAUAGCGAUUAAAAGACUAAGUUACCUUAGGGAUAACAGCGUAAUCUUUUUUGAGAGUUCUAAUCGACAAAAAGGGUUGCGACCUCGAUGUUGGACUAAGGGUUAUUCUUGGGUGUAGAAGUUCAAGGUUUAGGUCUGUUCGACCUUUGAAUCCUUACGUGAUC
rnacentral:rRNA from 1 species